rnacentral:rRNA from 1 species
UACAGAGGGUGCGAGCGUUAAUCGGAAUUACUGGGCGUAAAGCGUGCGUAGACGGUUAUUUAAGUCGGGUGUGAAAGCCCCGGGCUCAACCUGGGAAUUGCAUUCGAGACUGAAUAGCUAGGGUACGGUAGAGGGAAGCGGAAUUUCCGGUGUAGCGGUGAAAUGCGUAGAUAAUCGGAAGGAACAUCAGUGGCGAAAGCGGACUUC